UUGUUGUGGUUAAAAAGCUCGUAGUUGGAUCUCGGCGGUCUGAGGGCGGUUCGCUUGAUUGAGAGCUACUGCUCUAUAGGCCGUGGUUUUGCCAGAGGUCUCGGGGUGCUCUUAACCGAGUGUCCUGCGAUGCUGGCAGGUUUACUUUGAAAAAAUUAGAGUGCUCAAAGCAGGCUUUUACGCCUGAAUAUUCGUGCAUGGAAUAAUAGAAUAGGAAGUCGUUUCUAUUUUGUUGGUUUUCGGAAAUCGACUUAAUGAUUAAUAGGGACAGUCGGGGGCAUUUGUAUUCAAACGACAGAGGUGAAAUUCUUGGACCGUUUGAAGACAAACUACUGCGAAAGCAUUUGCCAAGAAUGUUUUCAUUAAUCAAGAACGAAAGUUAGAGGU
rnacentral:rRNA from 1 species